CCUUUAUAAAACUUGUCUUGGUCAUGGUGUCUGUUCACAGCAGUAAAAUCCUAACUAAGACAGAACCCUAAGAGCCUAAAAUAGGACAAACUUUACACCUUUUCUUUAGAGUAACAUAUCACACAUGGGCUAAGGGUAGAAGCAGAUUGACAGGCAUGGUUUUACAGUAAAGAUGUGGCUAAAACUGAUAUAAUUGCCUUCUACUUCAGACAGAAGACUAGAAGGGGAAGUGGGGGAAUGAAUGUCUUAUAAGUCUACUUUUAAGAAGAAAAGCAAACAUAAAUCACAGAGAAUCAUCUAACUGUUUGAUAUUUUACAUAAUUUAGACCAUUUUCCAAAAAUAAAAACAAAAAGAAUAUCCUUCCUUUUAUGCAAAGAGAGAGAGAGAGAGAGAGAGAGAGGGGGGGGGGGGGAAGACAAGUGCUUCCUGUUAACCACUCCUCCCCUUGGUAAGUACAUGCAAAUGGAAAUGCUUUCUGCCAGAGAUGCUCAAAGGGCCUCCUCCAAGGACUUUCCAAGCAGAAUUAUUCAUGGCGUCUCAGUGGGAAGGAGAUUUAGCACUGCCUAUACUGUGUAAGAACACAUAUUUUAAAUUGGACAUAGUUUCUGAAAUGUACAAAACUGGCAUUACAGGAUUCUAUAUUUCCUGCUUCUCAGUGACUUUUAAACAAGUUUAUGGUACACCAAGUCAGAGAGUCUGUCAGUGCCAGAGUGACUUAGUGGGACUGCCUUUUUUUUUUUUUCUGCUGCAUUUGUUACUGUUAGAGAGAGUUCCCAUAGUCACUAUUCCUGUGUCAGUUUUUGGAGAAUGUCAAAGAAGAUUAAUAAAACAUUGAUUUUGUUUCUUUUUACCUUAAAAGUAAAUCCAUGAAGUCAUCUGAACAGGUGAUUAUUUUCUUUUUAAAUGGCAACGCAGGCAAUGGAAAUCUAAGUGUUCCGUUUGACUUUUCUUGUUUUAUCUUCCUCCUUUCAGUUUCUCAUUAUAUAUUUCUGCUCAUCACUUUGAAUAUCGAUUUAUGCUGACUUGAGUAUGUGUCAAUUGAUGAUUCUAUAAUUAAGUAGAAUUCAGUUUGAUUGGGCUAUCUUAGCACUAGGGUCCUGGACUAACAUUGUCAUGUGUGAGAGUCGAAGAUUACAGAUAGACCUUUCUGCUGUGUUUUUUGUUGUUGUUGUGUUGUUGUUGUUGUUUUUGUUUUUGUUUUUAAUCUUACUUUUGGAAGAUGCUUUGUUUUGAUAUGUCUUAAUGCAUAUGAGUUUGUUGCUUCAGAAUCCAAAAUAGGCACUCGUACACUCUAGAGCAAUAGGUGGUCUGAGUGUUCUGUAUGGAUGCCAAGAAAUGAGCUCAGGUCCUCUGCAGGAACAGGGUACACACUUAACCUCUGAGCUGGCCCUGCAGCCCUAGCUUAACAGUUUUAAGCACUUGUUUAACAUUAGUUGGAAAGUUUGCAUUAUCAUGAACAUUUAGAGCAUUUUUCUUUGUGGUUGGUUUGUUUGUUUGUUUAUUUAUUUUUGUACUUCUGUGGCUCCUCCUUUAAUUUGGUAAUGGUAUUGCAGUUGAUUGAUCCUUACUUCAUCUGAGUUAUCUCAAAAGCGUAUGGAACUAACUCUCUCUAUGAUGUUUUUCAUAAUAGCCUUUACAACUUUCUGGAACCCAAUGCAAAUGUGGUGCAUGUGAAAUCAGAUAUUUAAUGCAGAAAAAUAAGAUUAUUAUUAAUGAGUAAAUAUUAAGAGGGAUUUACAUCCAUCAAAAUAAAGCCUUAUAUUGAUUUAGAACUUCCAAAUAAAAAUUAAACAUCUCUCCCUGGCCUCUACAACCAUGUCCAGUUGAGUACUACCCAAGGGAAUAUGUUAUGGUGGCCAUUGGCUACUGAUGGUGGUCUUAGUUCUGUAGAGGUGCUUUCAAGCUCUUAUGUCUAGCUAUUUCCCGAAGGUCUCCCAUGCAUCAGUCUCACAUCCAUGGGAGAGUUGUGGAAAACAAAGACUGACCUGUAGAAAUAACUUAUGCUUAGCCAACAUAAUCACUUUGUAAGAAGUGUGACUCUUUAUUUUGGCUAGGUCUUCUUGAGUUGUAUACAUAAGGCUGGCCUAUCUCAGUGUUUAUGCCCUAAGAUCAGGUGUCUUUGGAACUGUGUUUCUGAUGCAGGGUGAGAGGUGAUGUCCAGUUAAUAUAGGAAAAGGAUAUGUAUAUCAUACAUCCUAAUAGCCUCUCCCACAGGAUCCAUAUAAUGAAGACUUCUAAAUAUCCAGAUAACUAGUUGAUACAUAGAAGAUAACAGGCCCCACAGAUCCCAUAUGAAUUAUUUAAUGACUGAAAUAGAGAAAACCACAAUGAUUUAUAGGUUCACACUCUGUAUAGACUUUAAAAAUAGACUUUCUCUGAAGGAAUCUCUUAUGUGUUGGAGAAAAAGCUCUGUCUAUAAUAUUAAGGUCCCAUGGGUUCAAAACUCAGUUGUUAUUUAAAACAUCCAUCAUGUUCAAUCCCAUGUUAUAGCCAAGGGCUUGAUGAAACUGUAACCCUUCUUUGGAAUAUACAGUUUUGGAAACUCAAGGCUAGUGGAUUAACCACUGUCUGUGAGGUUAACAGAGAUGUUUGUGUCAGUUUAAAUUGAAGUGAAACAAAUGUACACACAUGCACACACACACACACACACACACACACACACACACACAUUUACACCAGACUGUGAACACCAGGUUGUUGUUACUUGAAGAUAAUAGGGUCCAGGAUCCAUAAAUCAGAAUUCCUGCCUUUUUGUGAUUAUGUUCUUUGGAGUCAUAGUGAAUCAGAGUUCAUUAGUCCCAGCUAUUGCUCGUGGGGAGGGGGAGGAAAAGGAGUGUGUUCUGAAGACUUUUGGCCAUUGCAUGUCUUUCAACCUAACACUAUACAACCUGGCUUUCCUUGUGCCUCUAAUUGGCUUCUGCCUUAAGUAUUUGUUGUUGAUUUAGUAAAGACAUAGGAAGAUUUUUCAGAUCAUGCUUGAGGCCACACCAUUUACAGAAGUAUAGAAAGCAUACCAAGUACUAUACCAAGACAGGGAUAUUGGUUACUAGUAUGAACUUUGAAGUCAGUGUGCCCUUUUGACCUGCAUUUUUUCCUUGCUGUAACCUGAACACUGUGGUUGAAUUUGGGGUGACCUGAGUAUGGAUUUUGAGCUUGCAAGUAAGUUUUAGCGAGCAGGCAGUAUCAUGUGUGAAAUGCACAAACAUUAAAGCUAAUCUUAUCGCUGUAUAUUUUAAUUUUAAUUGGUAGUUCAAUCAUACCCAAUGCCUUCUUGUGUUUAUUGCAUCAUUAGUGUCUUCUCUCUAUAUACCCAGUUACUGAUGUUUAAUUAACCCGGACCCUUCUCUAUGAUUCAAUACAAAAAUGACUCUGGAAGUUAGGACAGGCGGCUUUGACUUGUGUUUCAGGGGAAGUCGAAAUCAGCAGAGAAUAUCAUGUAAUGACAGGACUGGGUUGACUUUUAGUUCUUUUACUUGCUCUUUAACUAAAGAGGUGAAACUACUAUCAAAAAUACUGGUCUUUACCCUCGUGGUCAUAUGAGUCUCAGAUAUCACUCUUUCAAGGAAGUCAAUCUGGAUAAGGUUUCCAAUCUAUUUACUAAGUAAUGAGGUGAGAUUUUCUCGCUCUUACCUUUUAGCUAGUUUUAUAUCAACACUGCAACGAGAGUAUAGAAUGUUUGCAUCUACCUUACCAGCUUUCACCUCUGUAAACAUCUUACAUUAUUGAAGCGUACCUCACAACUAAAGAAAGCCCUGACAUUAAUAUGCAUUAUUACGUUAACCUCAGAAUUUAUUUGGCUGUACCAGCAUAUCUUUCCCCCAUUGUGGGAACAGAUCCAGGAUACCAAAUGUCAUCCAGUUGUCACUCCUCCUGAGGACCCUUCACACUGCAAUUGUCUCCACUCCUUGUUUGAACGACCUUAGUCUCAAGAAGCUUCUGUAAAUGCCCCAUGUUUGUGCUUGACUGAUGUCUUCCUGACAAUACAGGUCGGAGUCCGGAAAGUAUAAGAACUCACUAAAGAAUCCUUUCCAUCAUUUCCUGUCAAGAGUACACAGGAUGAUGGAGGCAUCCUUCAUUACAAAAGGCUGAAGUCCUGACCCGUUGAGGACAGAGGGACAAGACAGGAAGGAAUGUACGCUGCCAUGCUCUGAAUGCCCCCUCUAGCUCUACAGACAAGAUCAGCCUCAAGUGAAAUUUGACAGAAGAUGUUCCUACAGUUUGCUGUCUGGAAGUGUUUACCCCAUGGGAUCCUCAUUGCCUCUCUCUUGGUAGUCAGCUGGGGCCAGUAUGACGAUGACUGGCAAUACGAGGAUUGCAAACUAGCUAGGGGAGGACCACCAGCUACUAUCGUGGCCAUUGAUGAAGAGAGUCGAAACGGUACAAUUCUGGUGGAUAACAUGUUGAUUAAGGGGACUGCCGGAGGACCAGACCCCACCAUAGAGCUCUCUUUAAAGGACAACGUGGACUACUGGGUGUUGCUGGACCCCGUUAAACAGAUGCUUUUCCUGAACAGUACCGGAAGAGUUCUGGAUAGAGACCCACCAAUGAACAUACACUCCAUUGUGGUGCAAGUCCAGUGUGUCAACAAGAAGGUUGGCACAGUUAUCUAUCAUGAAGUACGCAUCGUGGUGCGAGAUCGGAAUGACAACUCCCCCACAUUCAAGCAUGAAAGCUACUAUGCCACCGUGAAUGAGCUCACUCCAGUUGGCACCACGAUAUUCACGGGGUUCUCGGGAGACAAUGGAGCUACAGACAUAGACGAUGGCCCUAAUGGACAGAUAGAAUACGUGAUUCAGUACAACCCAGAAGAUCCGACAUCCAACGACACCUUUGAAAUUCCACUCAUGCUGACUGGCAACGUGGUACUGAGGAAAAGACUCAACUAUGAGGAUAAGACUCGCUACUAUGUCAUCAUCCAAGCAAAUGACCGUGCACAAAAUCUGAAUGAGAGGCGAACAACCACCACCACCCUCACAGUAGAUGUUCUAGAUGGAGAUGACCUGGGACCUAUGUUUCUGCCUUGUGUUCUUGUGCCAAACACACGUGACUGUCGUCCACUCACCUACCAAGCUGCCAUUCCUGAACUGAGGACUCCGGAAGAACUGAACCCUAUUUUGGUGACACCACCUAUCCAAGCCAUUGAUCAGGACCGAAACAUCCAACCACCAUCUGAUCGACCUGGCAUCCUCUACUCCAUCCUUGUCGGCACCCCUGAGGAUUACCCCCGCUUCUUCCAUAUGCAUCCCAGGACUGCAGAACUCACUCUCCUGGAGCCAGUAAACAGAGACUUCCAUCAAAAAUUUGAUUUGGUUAUUAAGGCUGAGCAGGACAAUGGCCACCCACUUCCUGCCUUUGCUAGUCUGCACAUCGAAAUACUAGACGAAAACAAUCAGAGUCCAUACUUCACAAUGCCCAGCUAUCAAGGAUACAUCCUGGAAUCCGCCCCAGUGGGAGCCACCAUUUCUGAGAGCCUAAACUUAACCACUCCUCUGAGAAUUGUAGCUCUGGACAAAGACAUAGAAGACACAAAAGAUCCAGAGCUCCACCUCUUCCUGAAUGACUACACCUCGGUCUUCACUGUGACACCCACUGGUAUCACCCGCUACCUCACCCUGCUUCAACCUGUGGACAGGGAGGAACAGCAAACCUACACCUUUCUGAUAACAGCGUUUGAUGGCGUGCAAGAAAGUGAGCCAGUCGUGGUCAAUAUCCGAGUGAUGGAUGCAAAUGAUAACACGCCCACCUUCCCUGAAAUCUCCUAUGAUGUCUAUGUUUACACAGACAUGAGUCCUGGGGACAGCGUCAUUCAGCUGACAGCGGUAGAUGCUGAUGAAGGCUCUAAUGGGGAGAUCUCCUAUGAAAUACUGGUGGGGGGCAAGGGAGACUUCGUGAUCAACAAGACCACAGGGCUGGUGAGCAUUGCACCAGGCGUGGAGCUGAUCGUGGGACAGACGUAUGCGCUCACAGUGCAGGCUUCGGACAACGCCCCGCCUGCAGAAAGAAGGCACUCCAUCUGCACAGUGUACAUCGAGGUGCUUCCUCCUAACAACCAGAGCCCUCCCCGCUUCCCGCAGCUGAUGUACAGUCUGGAAGUCAGCGAGGCCAUGAGGAUCGGUGCUAUUUUAUUAAAUCUACAGGCAACUGAUCGAGAGGGAGAUCCAAUCACAUAUGCCAUCGAGAAUGGAGACCCUCAGAGAGUUUUUAAUCUUUCAGAAACCACAGGGAUUCUCAGCCUAGGGAAGGCUCUAGACCGCGAGAGCACAGACCGCUACAUCCUCAUCGUCACAGCCUCAGAUGGCAGACCGGAUGGAACCUCAACUGCCACUGUGAACAUAGUGGUGACGGACGUCAAUGACAACGCUCCCGUGUUCGAUCCCUAUCUGCCCAGGAACCUCUCUGUGGUGGAGGAAGAAGCCAAUGCCUUUGUGGGUCAAGUCCGGGCAACAGACCCAGAUGCUGGGAUAAACGGCCAAGUUCACUACAGCCUGGGGAACUUCAACAACCUCUUCCGCAUCACAUCCAACGGGAGCAUUUACACAGCCGUGAAGCUGAACAGGGAAGCCAGGGACCACUAUGAACUGGUUGUCGUGGCAACAGAUGGAGCAGUCCACCCUCGACAUUCAACUCUGACACUGUACAUCAAGGUGUUGGACAUUGAUGAUAACAGUCCUGUUUUUACCAAUUCAACGUACACAGUUGUCGUUGAAGAGAAUCUGCCAGCCGGGACCUCCUUUCUUCAAAUAGAGGCCAAGGAUGUUGACCUUGGAGCCAAUGUGUCAUAUCGGAUCAGAAGCCCAGAAGUGAAACACCUUUUUGCACUGCAUCCAUUCACUGGAGAAUUGUCUCUUCUGAGGAGUUUGGAUUAUGAGGCCUUUCCGGACCAGGAGGCAAGCAUCACAUUCUUGGUGGAGGCCUUUGACAUUUAUGGGACUAUGCCACCUGGUAUAGCAACAGUCACGGUAAUUGUGAAGGACAUGAAUGACUACCCUCCAGUGUUUAGCAAACGCAUCUACAAGGGGAUGGUGGCUCCAGAUGCAGUCAAGGGGACACCAAUCACCACCGUUUAUGCUGAAGAUGCGGACCCACCUGGGAUGCCUGCAAGUAGGGUGAGGUAUCGAGUGGACGACGUGCAGUUUCCAUACCCAGCCAGUAUUUUUGAUGUAGAGGAAGAUUCUGGAAGAGUAGUAACCCGCGUCAAUCUUAAUGAAGAGCCUACUACGAUUUUCAAGCUGGUGGUUGUGGCUUUUGAUGACGGCGAACCUGUGAUGUCCAGCAGUGCCACGGUGAGAAUUCUUGUCUUACAUCCUGGAGAGAUCCCACGCUUCACCCAAGAGGAAUACAGACCUCCUCCUGUAAGUGAGCUUGCGGCCAGAGGGACUGUAGUUGGUGUCAUUUCUGCUGCUGCCAUUAAUCAGAGCAUCGUGUACUCCAUUGUGGCAGGAAAUGAGGAAGACAAGUUUGGAAUCAACAAUGUCACUGGGGUCAUCUAUGUGAAUUCACCAUUGGAUUACGAGACAAGGACCAGCUAUGUGCUCCGGGUACAAGCAGAUUCUCUGGAAGUGGUCCUUGCCAAUCUCCGAGUCCCUUCAAAAAGCAAUACAGCUAAGGUGUACAUUGAGAUUCAGGAUGAAAACGAUCACCCCCCAGUGUUCCAGAAGAAAUUCUACAUUGGAGGUGUGUCUGAAGACGCAAGGAUGUUCGCAUCUGUGCUCAGAGUGAAGGCCACCGACAGGGACACGGGUAAUUACAGUGCCAUGGCCUACCGGCUCAUCAUACCGCCGAUUAAAGAGGGCAAAGAGGGGUUUGUGGUGGAAACAUACACAGGUCUCAUCAAGACAGCCAUGCUCUUCCACAAUAUGAGAAGAUCCUACUUCAAGUUUCAAGUGAUUGCAACUGACGACUACGGGAAGGGGUUGAGCGGGAAAGCAGACGUACUGGUCUCCGUGGUCAAUCAACUGGAUAUGCAGGUCAUUGUCUCCAAUGUGCCCCCUACACUAGUGGAAAAGAAGAUAGAAGACCUUACAGAGAUUUUGGAUCGCUACGUUCAGGAGCAAAUUCCUGGUGCCAAGGUUGUGGUGGAGUCCAUAGGUGCCCGUCGCCAUGGAGACGCCUACUCCCUAGAAGACUAUAGCAAGUGCGACCUGACUGUCUAUGCCAUCGACCCGCAGACCAACAGAGCCAUCGACAGAAAUGAGCUUUUUAAGUUCCUGGACGGCAAACUGCUCGAUAUCAAUAAAGACUUCCAGCCGUAUUACGGGGAAGGAGGGCGCAUUCUGGAGAUUCGGACACCUGAGGCAGUGACGAGCAUCAAGAAGCGAGGAGAAAGCUUGGGGUACACAGAAGGGGCCUUGCUGGCCUUGGCCUUCAUCAUCAUCCUCUGUUGCAUCCCAGCCAUCUUGGUCGUCUUAGUAAGCUACCGACAGUUUAAAGUACGCCAGGCUGAGUGCACGAAGACCGCAAGAAUUCAGUCUGCUAUGCCUGCAGCCAAGCCUGCAGCUCCUGUACCAGCUGCGCCUGCGCCGCCCCCGCCCCCGCCACCACCACCACCAGGAGCACAUCUCUAUGAAGAACUGGGAGAGAGCGCAAUGCAUAAUCUUUUCCUUCUCUACCAUUUUGAACAAAGCAGGGGAAAUAACUCAGUCCCAGAAGACAGGAGCAGUCAUCGCGAUGGGAUGGCCUUUUCCUCCAGUACCACUGAGUCUCAUGAGCCAGCUCAUGUAGAGGGACCACUUAAGGAGAGCCAGCCUAACCCAGCAAGGACGUUCUCAUUUGUUCCUGAUGAGGAUAACUUAAGUACCCAUAAUCCCCUUUACAUGGAAAGUAUAGGUCAAAGGUCAACAAACUCAGACCUUCAGCCACGAACAGAUUUUGAAGAGCUGUUGGCACCCAGAACACAAGUUAAGAGUCAGUCUCUGAGGGGCCCAAGAGAAAAGAUCCAGAGGGUGUGGAAUCAGUCUGUGAGCUUUCCUAGGCGGCUCAUGUGGAAAGCCCCAAACAGGCCAGAGACCAUAGACCUGGUGGAGUGGCAGAUCACCAAUCAGAGAGCUGAAUGCGAAAGCGCCAGAUGCCACCCAAGCCAGAGAGGUAGCAGCAACGUUCUGCUGGCAACUGAAGAUGCCCACGAGUCAGAGAAAGAAGGGGGACACAGAGACACCCUAAUCGUCCAGCAAACAGAGCAGCUGAAAUCUCUGUCUUCUGGCUCUUCUUUUUCCUCCUCUUGGUCUCACUUUUCUUUCUCAACUCUGCCAACGAUUUCCAGAGCGGUGGAACUCGGGUCGGAACCUAAUGUGGUCACUUCUCCCGCUGACUGCACCUUGGAACUUUCUCCUCCUCUGAGACCCCGUAUUUUAAACUCCUUAAGCUCUAAGAGAGAGACUCCCACAUGUGCAUCAGAUACAGAACCAAAAAGGAACUCUUUUGAGAUCGCUCCCCAUCCACCUAGCAUCUCUGCUCCCCUCCCACAUCCGCCUCUUCCUAGACCUCCCAUUGCCUUUACCACUUUUCCUCUUCCCCUUUCUCCCCCUAACCCUCCUCCCCCACAACUUGUUACAUUUUCUCUUCCCAUUUCUACACCCCCUACUUCUUCUCUACCUCUUCCUCCUCCACUGUCACUUCCUCCUCCUCCUCGGCCACCAGCUCCCCGCCUCUUCCCACAGCCUCCUUCCACGUCCAUUCCAUCCACAGACAGCAUCUCUGCACCAGCUGCUAAAUGCACUGCCAGUGCCACACACGCCAGAGAAACCACGUCUACGACACAGCCACCAGCAUCCAACCCGCAGUGGGGGGCAGAACCCCACAGACAUCCAAAAGGGAUCCUCAGACAUGUGAAAAACUUGGCAGAGCUCGAGAAAUCAGUGUCUAACAUGUACAGUCACAUAGAAAAAAACUGCCCACCUGCAGAUCCCUCAAAACUACACACGUUUUGCCCUGCAGAGAAAACAGGCAUGAAAAUCACACAUGACCAGAGCCAGGAAACGUUGGUUAGAGUUGUUGAGGGAAUUGACGUGCAACCUCACAGUCAAUCAACAUCUUUGUAACGAUGCUUCUCCAAUUUUACCUGGGCGAUUCUUUUCUUGGUCGUAACCCUCAAAGCGGAGCACGAGAAUUUUGAACGUCACAGAAGAGUCCACUGUUUUUUAUCCCAAACUCAAUGCAAUGCCUUUUUCUUCCACACUUUUAGUUUCAAUUAACAUCACCGUCACUAACUCAUAGAGUAGAUUGACCUUAAUUUUCUUAACUUCAAGGUAGCAUUAUUUGUCCUACAUUUAUUUUAAAAGUAAGUAACUUUAUCUGUUUUUAACGGGGAGAUUUGGGCAUGAAAAGUACUGAUCCAACUAAAACCAAAGGCGUGUUGACCUUGUUGAUGGGUGAUGUUUUUCUUUUCUCUUUAGUUUUUGACCAAGGUUUUAUAUGAAUGUUCUAGCUGGGGGGUAACAGAAAAACAGGGUGCUAGUAAGCCAUAAUGCUCUCUCUUUGGCUUGUUAUUUCCUUGAAGUCUAUGUAUUUGGUAAAAGGAAAUGUUUCACAGGUAAAAUGAUCCUUAGAAUUGUAAGGAAUGGCAGACAGCAGGGAUUUAAAAGGCAAUCUCAGGUGCUUUAAUAUGUAGUUAUCAGUUUUCUUAUGAUACCCUCCAUUCUGGAUUUGUUCUUUUUAGUAGGCUUUCAGAUGAGAAGUCUCUCCCAUUUUUUCAGUUGCUGUUAUGUUUCUUUAUCUUGAUGCUUUAUGAUGAAAAUAAAUCUCAUGCCACUGACUUUUGUAAGACAUCUUAAUUUUUUUUAUCAAAGGUGCCUAAAAUGCUAUUUUAUUUAACCUUUUCCCGUUAUAAAAAUCACCUCCUUGUUUAUAAUUUUAUGGUUCUUCUUUCCAAGAAGACAUUCUUUGAUAUCCAAUUUAUUUAAUAAAUAAAAUAAAAAUUACUUUUAAAUGAAGAGAUACUAUUCUUGGUGCCUUAUCACCUGUAUGCUCAGAGGUUUGUUCUUUGUUUUAGGCAGAAGAGAAAGAUUUAUCCCAUGGGAACAAAGUCCCAUAGUUGCAGUAGUUGUGAAAAUAUCCCUGAGCUCAAUGGAUUGAAUUCUGGGGAAUUAUAGCUAAGUUAAGCACCACUGUCUUCACGAAGCAUACAUAUUCAUUUUUAAGUUAUACUGACAUACACAGGUAUAUGGUGUAUUAUAUGUAAAUGUCAAAUAAUAUUUAGUUUUUCCCAUAAAACACAUUGAAUAAAAUUGAACUACUAGAAAUUCUUACUUUUGAGACAAAUUCUACUAUUUGUUGAACUCUAGAAUUGAACUAUUUGAGAAAAUAUAAACCUGCAUAUUCCAUGAGAACAGCUGAGACAACUAACCUCAGCUUCUAUUACAACAAGGAAAUCACAGAGGUAUUCCUAAACUAUCCCAGCCACAGUGAAACAUGGCUUUACUUCUGUGUGUCCACAAAGGCUGAGAACCCCACAGUACCAUCAUCUCUAAGAAGGUUUGGGGCUCUUAAAAUUUGACACAGCCCUUCAAUAAUUUAAUGUUCAUGCCUGAUUAACAGGAGCAGAUCAAAAGCAAUCCAAAAACCUACUUACCCUCUGCAGCAGCCCAUCUGCUUCAGAUAUCUUUCCUCCAAAUCAAAAGUCAUUUUUUUCCUGGGAUUCUUGUAUGUGUUUUGUGCUGUUUUGUUUUCCCUCUUUUCAUUGAAAAGCUUCCAAUGGAGUUUUCAUUGGCAGCUGGUCAUAUGCCUGAGAACUUGUGCUGUAUGGUGGAUUCUAGCAGGGUCUUGCUGAUAGUUAAAUGUCUUUUACAUGAGUCCUAUAAAGGUUGUUUAAAAAUAUAACCCCUCGCACUUCUUGUCUCUCCAAUGCUACAAGCUCACAUGUCUGUGUGAAAAAUCAUUCUUUCCUCUGCAUUUGUUAAGGUCUGCUCAGUGUAUAAGAAAUGGUUAGAGGGAUUAUUUAAAAUUCAAAGAGAACAUUUGUUAUGCCUUUGUCAUUGCUAAGACUAGAUGUAUACAGACAUAGGAUCUAAAAAUGAAUAGUUGCUACACACGAGGUAGUAGAAUUACAUGAAAAGACGCGUUGAUAUUGUUUGAUUGAUUUUAUAAUUAUCAACAUUCAUGAUUGGAAAGGACAGAUAAUUAUGAAUAUUGAUGAUGUUAUAUAAAUAUACCUCUUCUUGGUAAGUUUCUGUCUUUGAGCUCAAAUAGCAGUAGAGUUACCCAAUGUAAACACAAGAGCAUAUGCGUGUGUGUGUGUGUGUGUGUGUGUGUGUGUGUGUGUGUGUAUAAAACUAAUUUUGAAAGAGGAUCUUACUCUUGUUACCUUGAACUCAUAACCCACAAUAGCUUCAAACUCACUAUGUGGUCCACACUGACCAAUUUUCCUGUCUCUGCCUCCUAAAUGCUGGGAUUAUAAACAUGAGCCUCUAAGCCCGAAUAUUAAAAAUUUUCAUAUUUAAUAAAAGGGUGAAAUUGAGAUAUCCUAGAAAACAAACUUUGUCGAGAUAAUUUACCUGAUUUGUGUGGCUCAUCAAUGUUGUGACCCUUUAAUAUAGUCUCUCAUAUUGGGGUGACCUCCCCCCAGCCCUAAAAUUAUUUUGCUGCCCCAGCCCUAAAAUUAUUUUGCUGCUCCUUCAUGACCGUAAGCCUGUGCUGUUGUGAAUUGUAAGGUUUGGAUUACUAUGAACCUCAUGUACACCUCUGUGGGAGCUGUGACUCACAGGUUGAGAACCACUGCUGCCAGGGUAUAGGUGCAUGUUCUGCAAAGACAUGUUUGUUGUACUUAAAAAGCCAUGCCUUUAACUCGGUGACAUUAUCUAUAUCACAGCUGAAUACAACGAGAUAAAUAAUAUCAGCCUAAUGAUUAAACACACAGAAAAUAAAGAAAAAUCUCGUGAUCAAUGGCAACCCAAAUUGUUACACUUUCUUGUCCCUCCCAAGUACAGACAAACAUUGCACAACUUGUGGUCUGUGAACCCUACUUACCUUUGUAUAGUUCUGAGUACUUGGAAGUUGAGAAGGUUUUAAAAGUAAUUGAAAUGGGUUCUUUAAAGAACAAAGAAGGUAUGUUAUUGUAUCCUUCAUUAUAGUUAGUAUCAAGUUGACACAUGUAGGCAAUAGGGUUACAUUCACUCGAAAGACUAUAAUCUGGGUAUGCACAUAUAUAUAUAUAUGUACAUAUAUAUAUAUAUAUAUAUACUUCUGUUUAAGAAGUAUUUCUUCCUCAGUGAACAUAAUUAUUCAUAUCAAGACAUAGGUGAGACACCAAAGAAUACCUUUAUGCUAGUUGAUCAUAACAUAACUAAGGUGAAUUAUUGCACUUUGUUCUUAAGUUGUUUUCACAUUUAUUUAUUCAGUGUAUGUGAAUGCAUGGGGCUUGGGAGCAUAUGUACCACAGCCUGGAUAUAGAGAGAAGUCAGAGAAAAACCUUAAGGAGUCAGCCCUUUCUACAUGUAAAUUCUGGGGGUUAGACUCAGUUCAUCAGGCUACGUGGCAUAGAUGGAUAUAGUUUGCUGGUCAUGUGAGAGUGAGAUCUGUGAAGACAACCUUUUAGUAAUGCAAGUACAGACAUGACCCUCGCAUCUGAAUAAUAUAACGCGAGGAAGUAUGUCCCAGUGAGAGUAAUUUUAGUAAAAUUGAUUGUAGUUCCUCUGAUUCUCUUAAAUGGUCCUUAUCUGUAAUUCUCUUGGGUCUGAAAAUCCAUGCAUUUAACACAAGUUUCCAUUUCUGCCUUUCAGGGGAGGCUUUGCACCAGAGGUAAGGGCUUUAUCAUGUGGUCCAGCAUUGAGCCUUCCAGGAAAGCCUUUGUAUAGGAUAUAGGACUAAUUGAAGCUAGAUUUAUCUUCUUCUAUUUCAAUCAAAAUUUUUAAUGAUGUUUUCUAAUGUAUUUCCUUUCUAUAUGUUGCUUCUUUGCUUUGGAGUUUUAAGCCUACCAUCUGGGGUGUAAACAAUGACCAGUAGCUAACAUUUCCAAUGAUGUCUUUGUUCUGAAUUGUAUUGAACUGUAGUAUAUGUGGUAGCACACUAAAUUUGGUUUUCUGGUUCUAUAGAUAUAAUUAAGAGGCUGUAAAGUUGAUUAACAUUUCUUAACAGUUCGGAUUUCUCUCUAGCCCAAAUAUCUUAUAUAUCUCUAAUAUCAUACUAGUAGACAUCUCUGAGUUUUUUAUUCCAUGUCUGUGUCUCAGUCUACAGAGAACAUACUGAGAAUUCUGACCAAUAGCAUUAAGUGAGAUCUGUGAGUCUCAUCGAAAUUACUGAGAACCUAGUUUGACUUAGCAGACAGUCUCCCAGUCAAAAAAGUGACAUAAAUACAUUCUCUGUAGCUUGUACUUUGUAAUGCAUAUAUUCUAGACCAUGCAGAUGAUAUUAAUGACCUAUAUGAAGAACUAGUUCUCAGGGAUGGUUAUAACUGAUAAUGGAUCCAUUCGAAUCGGAGAGUCUCUCACCUAAACUUCCUUUCCUUUUCAAAGAGUAACCUAUCUAUGUGCUCAUUUUGAGCAGUUGAUUCACAGGCAGGAUCACUUCCAGAGCUGCACUCUACCCUCCCAGGGCACACAGAAAUAUGUAUCAUUAAAAAUUCGCUAAGCUGAAAUUUGAGCAAGUUUUAGUUCCCAUUUGGUUGAAGCGUGAAUUAUCACUAAAUGUACCAACAAAGACUUUGACACAGCUCAUUGGAUGAGUUAACAGGGAGAGGAGGCAGAUGGGAGGCCCUACAGAAUUGGAGGAGGGACAAUUUCCUGACUCACAAAAGACUUUUACAAACAUACUCAAAAGGAAACCAUUCCAUAGUAAAAAAAAAAAAAAAAAAGGGAGAGCAAAGAGAAUGUCUUCAAUACGAUCCCAAAGAUGAUGCAUCUUGUCACUCCGACUUCCCAUUCUUCCUGAAGGAUGCAAUUAUACUUAGUGUGAUGAGGAGUGAAAUGAUGAGCAAAAUAGCCCUGUGCUAUUUGUUUAUAGAAGCCCAAGUAAUCCUUCAUACUCUGAAGCUUAAACAAAAAUAUCCUCAUAGAAAUUGGUUAUUAAGGUUAUUAUCAGUUAGCUAAUUAAGGUAACCAAAAUUAAAGCCAGUGGCUUCUGAUAUACCUUAGGUGCCCAAGUAAUUAUCUGAACUAUUAAUUAGUAGUUUGGCAGGUGUCAUGUGAGUAAUGAAUCAUACCUUAAGUGACAGGUUCAAGCUGUUGCCUGUAUUCCUCUUUUCUCAAUCGUGUUCUUUAUUUCCCAUCUGAACUACUAUCUAAAUCUUUUCCUGUUUUAAUUUCCUUUGGCAGCAUCAACUGCUGAGACCUUCUCUUCUUAAACCGGAGGAGUUAUCCAUGGAAUCUGGGAUUGAUCCUGGCCAGGAAUAUGGACAAGAUUAUUACAGUUAUGAGCAUGGGUAUGAGAUGCCCCAGUAUGGAAGUCGCCGUCGACUGCUGCCACCUGCUGGACAGGAGGAAUACGGCGAAGUCAUUGGUGAAGCUGAAGAGGAAUAUGAAGAAGAAGAGUGGGCAAGAAAAAGAAUGAUCAAGUUGGUGGUCGAUCGGGAGUAUGAGAGCAGCUCACCUGGGGAAGACAGCGCUCCUGAGUCGCAGAGAAGCAGAACUCACAAGCCCAGUGGCCGCAGCAAUGUCAACGGCAACAUCUACAUUGCGCAGAAUGGUUCCGUGGUGAGAACACGCCGUGCCUGCGUCGCUGAUAACUUGAAGGUGCCCUCCCCUGGGUUGCUUGGGAGGCAUCUGAAGAAAUUAGACACAUUGGCAGGGACACGUGAAGAGAAUGUGCCCCUGAACACACUGUUCAAGGGGCCAUUUUCCACAGAGAAAGCGAAAAGAACCCCAACUCUGGUCACGUUUGCCCCGUGCCCCGUGGUGGCUGAGCACUCGGCAGUGAAGCCAUCAGGGACCAGGCUGAAACACACAGCUGAGCAGGAGUCCAUGGUAGACAGUAGGCUCUCCAGAGAGUCGAUGGAAUUCCACGGUGACAGCGCGCCAUCAGAUGAGGAGGAGCUCUGGAUGGGUCCGUGGAACAGCCUCCACAUACCAAUGACAAAACUCUGACCAAUACAAAGAAUAACUUCGUUUUUACUUGUUUUUAAUGAACUCUGCUUUUUAUUGUCUCAAAAAUCAACAUAUGGGGUUUAUCACAUGUGCACAACCUAACACUUCGAAUGAUCUGCUUUACAAUAAAAGAGAAAGAGAGAGAUCAUUUGUAUCAAUUAAUUGUUAGCCCCAGAAAAGCCUUUGUGGACAGACAGAAAUCACUAAGUAACAUCACUUCAAAGUCUAGUUGUUUGGUUGGAUCUUGAAUUAGUCUUUUCCAUUGUAAUAAGCAAGGAAUAACUUAGUAGAAAUCAUUUAUAUUUUUUGCUUAACAUAGAUUGUACUCCAUUUCUAGGUUGACAGCACAUUUUUCCGCACAUGUAAUUUUAUUUUCUAUGGGGUAACAGAUUUUUAUAGGUAUGAGAUUUAUACAGCUACUGUCUGUACUGUGCUGACUUUAUAAAAGAAAAAUAGGCUUACAAAGCAGCAGUCCAGGUGGGAAUCACUUGUAAGUUAUUUUCAAUCCUGAAGUUACAUAGUAUCCACAAUGUAGUUUUAAAGAUUUUUGAAGGAAUACUUGUGGCCUUAGGAAGAACAUUCGAGGUCAAUGCUUUUAUAAAAACAAAAAAAAAAAAAAAAAACCAAAAAACAAAAAACACAUAAUUUACCGUUUUACCUGGCACACACCCCACAUGUAUCUGCAUAUAUUCUAUCCAUUCCACAUGGAGCAAAUAAUUUACCAACUUUUGCAAGUCAGUAACUGUUUGAAGCAACAUAUAAACCCCACUCUCAACAAAAGCUUAGUGAGGAGUAGGGAGGGGCAAGUGGACAGCAAAGCUUCUCGAACCCAUGGUCAGUGGAUGACGUAGCAAGGCGGAGGAGUCUCGCCUAAUGUGACUAGACAGGAAUCCCUUAUAAGCCCAGCAUACAAGGAUGUGUCGGGGUCACAGGCUUAUACAAUGUGUUAACCUCCUAUCUAUCUAUCCAGGCUGCAAUUCCACAGCUUCAUUGCACUGGAGCACUUCAUUUCUCCCAGCUCUCAUUUAUUGAUAGAUGACUUUAGUGCACAUAUUUAUGUGCUAUGGUCCAGAGCCAGAAAACGAUUGUCUGCACAUUUGUUUUAAUCAAAGAACAUGAUCUUCAUUUUUCCACCUCUGAACAGAAGACACAGUGUUUUGCCAUUAGUAGAAACUAAACAAAAUGGCCUUUAAAAAUUGCCUUGUGUGUUGCCUAUUCUGCAGCAUUAGAAAGGAUGACCAAUGUAGUCUAAGGGGCUUCAGAAUUUUAUUGAAUAUGUCUUAGUGUGAUAUAGAUAUAUUUUGCUUCAAAUUUGGCAUUGUACUGAGCGAGUUCAUAUGUCAAUUAAAUUCCUUUGGGCAUGUUUAUCAUGUGGUUGAAGAACUGAAUAGCCUGUUAUUAUUACUGCCUUUACGUGGUUCAGAUUAUAAAAUGGUUUUUACAAUGUUAUUUUCUCAUUUGCAAGGUGAAGGAAUUAUAUUUAGCGACUCACCAAUUUCUGUGACUAGUAUGUUUUCAUUUCAGAUAUGUGAACAUACUUGGAGGAAUAUCCUGAAAUCUCAUUUUACUGGGAAUCAAUUCCUUUUUAUACCCUUAGAAAACCCAUCAGCAUUAGUAGUAAUGUUAGAACUGUAGAGUCAUGUCCACACCCACAGGCUUACUAACAAGGAGGUACGCCUUCACAAUAUGUAAGAUGGCUUGCAUGCAUAUUGAAGUUUAUGAAGCAAUGUACGGCCAGUCCUUCAGGCACCAAAGCAAUUUUUUUGUUACAUAAAAUAUUUCAUAUAGAUCUCAAAUUAAGCAUUCAUACUUCCCUACUAGCUCAGUCAUUGAUCACUAAAUAUAAUUUAAUAUUUUAUGACAUUUCAUGGUAAUGAUUACUAGGCUCCCUUGGUAUUCUUUGUACAUACAGAUCUGUAUUUUUUGCCCUUCCUUUAGCUUCUAGAUGUAAAUGUUAACUUAUAUGUUGCUGUUCCUCUCACAGUUGGGUUUUUUUUCCUUUCAGCCAAGGUUUCUAUGUUCUGGUAAGGAAGUUUGUUUUGAUUAUUGCUAUUGAAAAAAAAACUUAAGAUGGGGGUAAGAUAGGAGAACUUCAUAAAAAGCUGUGUGGAUCUUGGAAAAUUUCUGUGGCCACUGUUAAUAUAUGAGCAGAGUUCCAAAGGCUAGUGUCAUAACAUGAUAGAAAACAUGGUAUUUUCAAGAUCACACACUGUAAGACAAUAUGCAGCUAUUAAAACCCAGGGGGCCAUUCCGAUUUCAGCACUUAUAAGAUGAUCGUUCUGAUAUAAAUGAUCCUGAAGCUAAUCUAUUCCUGGGGUGAGAUAAAGAUGAGCAGCCUUGAUGGGGAACAACCAAAUCAAAUAUUUGGUUUGUGUAUUUGAAGGAAAGAGACAGCCCUAAAACGCUGGCUGAAUAAAUCUGGAUUAGCUGAAGCACUACACUCACAGGACUUUAAAUAACCCAUGAAAUCUGGACUCAUGAUUAAAACUGCAAAGCACAGGGGAAAUAUGUAGGUACUGUUAGUCUUAAAAAGAAUUAACAUAGAUAGUAUUUACAUGGAAGUAUAUAUAAGGAAAUUUGUGCCUGGUUUUCCUAGAAGGGCAUGAGAAGUUUCUUUAGCUUUUGUUCUUAAUAAAUACCAGCCUUCACUAAGGGGAAAUAAAGCAAACAAAUAAACCCUGCCGUUCCUAAUGAACCAACAUACACAGCAAAUACCAUCACAGUCCUGUUGUAACCUGAGAUUUCCGAAGCCUUGUGGACACUAAAUUCAAGGAAGAAGCAGAGCAGUCAGUGUGGCAAGGUACUGGUCACCCUGUGACCAUUAGCCCAUGGUGUCCUCCAAGUGUCUAGAUUUAUUCUUCUCAUUGACUGAAAACCCUAAGAGCUGUCACAGAAUUCCAACUGAAUAGCAUCCCAAAGGACCUUCUUAAAGUACAGGAAACGGCUGUCCUGAGGUCCCCACUGUCAGCAAUGAUGUUAAAACAUGUUUGCCCUCUGUGGGUCUUCCAAACAGUCACUGCAGCUACAAUCAAAAUGUUGCUGAUAACACUUAUGUAUCAGAAAGCAAGAAGUCAUUGGAUAUUAAUUCAUGAAAGGAGCCAUCGUCUUUCUUCCUUUCACAGAUCUUCUUUAAUCUCUCAUUCUGUUUUAUUCAUUCAUUGCCUUAUACUAUACACAGUAAGUAGAACUUCCACAGUCCUUUAGUUCAAUGGUGAGAUGGGCAGAAAGCACUAAGACUCUAUUCUCAGGACAGAUGCCUCCUGUGCCUGUAAAUGCCACAGUGGUGCAUCUGAAGGGUAAGUUCAAAUAGUAUCUAGGACUCUAUUUCCUAUAGAAAGUUUCUCCCUAUUCCAGGGUGAUAACAUGAAUUUCUUGUUGUAUUUCUCUCUUGUUUUAGCAGUAGCUGAUUCUGUUUACUUUGGUUUUUUUUCCAUUGAAGUCUUAAGUUUAUGGCAAGUUAAUCACGUGUAUGAAAAAUGUGAACGUUGUCUAUAGUUUGAGAAAUUAUCAGGACAUCCACAUUUUCCCAAUUUCUUUACCGAAAUGACUGUUCUUCCUUAAAUGUUACGUUAAGGUAUGAAGAAAAUCAAGUAUAAAGUCUGGGUUAAAAUACAUUGUUAUACAAUUACACAAUGUUUUACAAAUAAAUUUCUUUUUGAAAAAAAGA